CAGAGUUCAUGCCCUCACGGGUAGAUCUCCCACCCUUGAAUAUACUACCUUUGUUGCUUUAGCGGGCCGCCUCGUCCACUGGCUUUGGUUAGUGAGUGCCCGCUAGAGGACCUUAAAUUCUGAUUUAUAGUGUUGUCUGAGUUCUAGAUAAUAGUUA
rnacentral:misc_RNA from 1 species